rnacentral:rRNA from 1 species
GCAUAAUCACUCGCCCUUUAAUUGGGGGCUGGAAUGAACGGACACACGAAAGAUACACUGUCUCCUUUUUACCCUUAAAAACUAACCUUCAGGUGAAGAGGCCUGAAUUCUAUAAAAGGACAAGAAGACCCUAUUGAGCUUUACUUUUAAACUUACUUUAUAAACUGCCAGCAAAUUAACCUAGUAAGCCUAAAGUUUGGUUGGGGCGACCGAGGAACACACUAAACUUCCUUUUAAUACCUAGCUAACUAGCUUAUCAUGAUCCGAUUUUCGAUUAAAGAAAAAAGCUACCAUAGGGAUAACAGGCUAAUCCUCCUAGAGAGCUCCCAUUGAUAGGAGGGG